AACGAACGCUGGCGGCGUGCUUAACACAUGCAAGUCGAAUGUGAAAGGCUUCGGUCGAGUAAAGUGGCGAACGGGUGAGUAACGCGUGGGUAAUCUGCCCUCGGGCGGGGGAUAACCUCUCGAAAGGGGGGCGUAAUACCGCAUGAGACCACGGCUUCUUGGAGCUGUGGGAAAAGGUGGGUCGCAAGACCAGCCACCUGAGGAUGAGCCCGCGUACCAUUAGGUAGUUGGUGGGGUAAUGGCCUACCAAGCCUGAGAUGGUUAGCUGGUCUGAGAGGACGAUCAGCCACACUGGGACUGAGACACGGCCCAGACUCCUACGGGAGGCAGCAGUGGGGAAUAUUGCGCAAUGGGGGAAACCCUGACGCAGCAACGCCGCGUGUGUGAAGAAGGCC
rnacentral:rRNA from 1 species